UCUACUACUGGAAUGGCCCCGAUCGCUUGCUGCGCAUUGGAGGCUUGAAGCCACCGGAAGUAUAGAAGUCGCCAUGUUGUUUCACCCAAAACAAGAAAGCCUAACAACUAAGAGGAGUUCGAGAUGCCGUCUUGUGCUGCUAUUAAUUGCACAAAUCGUGAUACUCGUGAAAAUCGCGAGAAGGGACUUAUAUUUCACAGAUUUCCACACUGCAAUGUUCAACUUCUAAAGCAAUGGGUAGUAAAUAUGAGGAGAGACAGGUGGAUUCCUGCAGCCAGAUCGCAACUCUGUUCAAGUCAUUUCACCGAGGAGAACUUGGACAGGACCGGCCAGACUGUUAGAUUACGACAAAAUGCAGUUCCAACAAUAUUUGACUUUCCUGAUCAUCUUCUAAAGGGAUCGACCGGAAGUCCAUCGCACCAGCCUCCUCGCCCGUACAGCCAAGUGCCGUGUUCGUUGGGCACGGCGCCAUCCUUUACUCGCUCUGUGCAGCCCAGCGCCGAUCCUGUUGGACCCGCAGAACCGUACAAAGACAAGCAAAAAAAGCAUCAAAUGAGCCUCACUAAUACGGGAUUUACAGACGAUCAGCUUUGCUCACCCGCAGAGUCAAAUGUACGACAGUUGCUGUGGACGCCGUUAAACAGGAAGUGAUGGGAAGUGACGCAAAAUUCCCCGCAGCCAUUCUCGUCACUGCCGUGUCCCGUGAUGACGGCGUACAGCUCCACCUGCAAGAGAGAAGCCGCCGUGAAGGAGGCGCGCUCGCCACCUUUUAAAGCGCCAACGUCAGCCCUCCUACCUUCUUGGUGGAGGCCGGGACAGGGAACUUGAUGGGCAGGUACCUCUUGUUGUAGGUCUUGUUGAAAGUUCCGCCGCUGUACAGUGACAUCACCCGGAAGGGGCGGAGCUUCUCUGUGUGAUUGCCUGAGAGAUCUACCAGCAAGUAGCUUAUUAUCUAAUUAACUCAAUCAAUACCAAAGACAUAUUUAUACAUGUUUUUUGCGUGAGAGGCAAAAAGAGGUGAUGACGCAACUGUGCACUAAAAGAGGUCACUGUUACAUCCGUUCUAAGCCAUAAGAACGGCCACAAGGUGGCAGAAGUGCAUUUUUGCAUGUAUUAACACUCCACAGCGAGGAGGAAGUGAGAGAGCGUGCAUGAGUGUAGCGUGCAGAAGGUUGCGCAUUGGAGGGAAAUUUUAAGGCAUGCACGCGCACACAUGCGCGCACGUGCACACAGACAUUUUGGUUCCAAAUGUGAAGAUUGUAAAUAGUUCAUGGUGUAAUAUUUGUAAAUAAAUUGUUAUUGUGAUGUUGUUUAGUUGUUUAGAUAUGUGAGCUGUAACAAAAGCAAAAAAAUGUGUGUCAAAGUGAACAUUAUGCUUGAAAUGUAUCUUUUAACGAAAAGCCUUUUUUCCUCCUUUUUUUAGUUGGGAACUGAUAUUUUCCUGAAACGUAUCUAUGUUCUACUGCUGAAGAACGCAAAAAGGUAGAAACCAACUUUUUAUUCCUGUUGAAAGGCGAGGGUCUAACGUUUGUUUUGGUAGGUUCCAUGUUUAUAUAGCCAUACAACACAAUAUUUAGUGGGCCUUGAAAGAUCAGCCAAAAUGGUCUAAAAUGGCCGCUACUGAAGGCGGUGUCUGUUGAAAAAUGUCUGGGAUUAAAUGAGUUAAAGGUCCCCAAUUAUGCAAAAGUUCUGUCCUGGUGGACAUGCUACCAUCGCUUAGCCUACCCUGUGUGUAUAGUAAUCCCUCUUUAUCGCAGUUAAUUGGUUCCAGACCCGACUGUGAUAAGUGAAGAAGGAUUCCUUAUUUAAAAAUGGAAUAGUUUCGUAAUGAGAGCAUAGAAAACCUCUUUGCGGCCUUUUAAACAUUAUUAAAGCCCUUUAGACAUGAAAUAACACCAAUUUAUUUUAGUUCCAUGACCGAUGUAGUAGAUAUAGUGAGAGAGAACAGGACAUAUAAGACAUAAGGCUCGUGUGCGUUGUUGUAAAUGUACUCCGGUGCUAAGGAAACUGAGUGGGGAGCAGACAGGAAGUGAUAUUGGGGGUUCGGAGUUGAGUUUUAGCUCUGCAUAGUAAGAUCAUUGCGCCUGUUGUGUGAUCAUUCAAGCCUGCAAUAAAAGCCUGUUGUCUUGUCUGACGCCACCUAGUGACCAGUGUAGAAUACUACAUACCGCAACGUCUUUGAAUGCGCCUUCUGAAUGACCUAUAUUUGUAUUUUACUUAAUUUUUAGUCGUUAUUGUGCUUCAUUUAAGCAAAAUAUGCCAAAUUUCAACAAAUGGAACAACAUAAUUUGAAAAACAGUGAUAGGGUGCAGCCGUGGUGAGGGAUUACUGUACACCCACUACUUUGUUACUUCACUCCACACCAAGUGAAAAAUACCAUCAUAUAGGACCUUUGAGACAAAUUGGCGUUUGAGCGUCUUCGCAUGAACAUUCAUACUUGUGAGGUUGGCGGCGCUGAAUCUCAGGUUGAGGGAGACAAUCCACGGCAUCGCCCACGGGACCGUCUUCAUGGUGAACGUACACUUGCUGGCAUCCAGGACGGGAAUGAGGGGGGAGACGUCCGUCUGCCAGCGGCCGAUACCUCUGCAGACAGCACCACACAUGUAGGAAACAUGUUUCCAUCUUCCCAUUUUGGAAGUGACCAACACACUCCACUGCGUCUAGCUCCGCCCCCUUUAGCGGUGAUCCAGCGGCCCAGCUCCACGUUGCAGUAAGGUCCAAGGUGAUCGCAGCACACAAACAACUGCACCGUGUGAUCCCACGGAGGGCAGGAUGAGUCCCUCCUGCCGGGACACGACAAGGACGCGUCCAGCAGCAGCGUGUCAAAGCCCGACAAGUCUGCAGAGAGACAACAGUCCAAACGUCAUUGUUUCCCACAGGACCGCAAUCUACUAGUGGCUGUGAGGGGAAGGAUGGAGCAUUGUGCUCAGCGACUUUGCAUUCCCAGAAAGUGAGUAAAAAAAUAUGAAAAUCUCUUUUUGUUGUUUUUUUAAUGUCACA